UCCGGUGGCUAUACCGGCGGGGCAACACCCGUUCCCAUUCCGAACACGGAAGUGAAGACCGCCAGGGCCGAUGGUACUGCGACCGCAGGGUCGUGGGAGAGUAGGUCGCCGCCGGAU
rnacentral:rRNA from 1 species